GAACUCUGGUAUUGAUUGGUGCUUGCAUCAUGAUUUACAUUUGCGUGAGUGGCGAACUGGUGAGUAACACGUGGGAAACCUGCCCAGAAGCGGGGGAUAACACCUGGAAACAGAUGCUAAUACCGCAUAACAACUUGGACCGCAUGGUCCGAGCUUGAAAGAUGGCUUCGGCUAUCACUUUUGGAUGGUCCCGCGGCGUAUUAGCUAGAUGGUGGGGUAAUGGCUCACCAUGGCAAUGAUACGUAGCCGACCUGAGAGGGUAAUCGGCCACAUUGGGACUGAGACACGGCCCAAACUCCUACGGGAGGCAGCAGUAGGGAAUCUUCCACAAUGGACGAAAGUCUGAUGGAGCAACGCCGCGUGAGUGAAGAAGGGUUUCGGCUCGUAAAACUCUGUUGUUAAAGAAGAACAUAUCUGAGAGUAACUGUUCAGGUAUUGACGGUAUUUAACCAGAAAGCCACGGCUAACUACGUGCCAGCAGCCGCGGUAAUACGUAGGUGGCAAGCGUUGUCCGGAUUUAUUGGGCGUAAAGCGAGCGCAGGCGGUUUUUUAAGUCUGAUGUGAAAGCCUUCGGCUCAACCGAAGAAGUGCAUCGGAAACUGGGAAACUUGAGUGCAGAAGAGGACAGUGGAACUCCAUGUGUAGCGGUGAAAUGCGUAGAUAUAUGGAAGAACACCAGUGGCGAAGGCGGCUGUCUGGUCUGUAACUGACGCUGAGGCUCGAAAGUAUGGGUAGCAAAUAGGAUUAGAUACCCUGGUAGUCCAUACCGUAAACGAUGAAUGCUAAGUGUUGGAGGGUUUCCGCCCUUCAGUGCUGCAGCUAACGCAUUAAGCAUUCCGCC
rnacentral:rRNA from 1 species